AUCGCCCCGGCGCGGAGAGAGGAGGGGAAGCUCCACCGGUCCUGGGCGGCUCCCCGUUUGGGGAAUCGAGGACUGCGUGGCGGGGGAAGGAGCACUCCGGUGGCCCGGCUGCCUGAGGGAGGAGGUGGGGUUCUGCUGGAUGCUGCCCAAUGGGUAGGAUUUGCCUGGAUUGAGAAGGGGGCGUUUUCGGGGAGAGGGGGCACGGGGUCGGGGUGGGGGUACGGACGCAAACUGUCUUGCCUUGAACCCCCUUGGCAUCUCCUCCUCUGGAGAGGAGUAUGUGGGUGUGCGUGUCCAACUCCUAUUCCCUGUCUCCGUGGCAGGCCAUUAAAGCCGGAUGCGAACUUGGAUUCUGUGUGGCUGAUUGCGGAGCUGUCUGGACGCCCCGAGGUCCCGGAUCGGCGACCCCCGGUGGACAGAGAACUAGCGUAGCCGGACGACGAGCUUUCGCACCAAGGCCACCGGUUGCAGAAGCUGGGAGUGAAAUAAAGGCGCGCGCGCCGGGUCCUGCGCUCCUCCCCUACCGAGAUAGGAAGAAGGCAGAGUGCCCCAGCGCGCCCGCAGGGACAUCAAGGAAAAAAACCCGCCUCCAACAAAACUGCCUUACUCUGUUCCACUUGGGCAGAAGGGAGCCGGGAUCCAGG
rnacentral:lncRNA from 12 species